rnacentral:rRNA from 1 species
AUUGAACGCUGGCGGCAGGCCUAACACAUGCAAGUCGAACGAGUGGCGGACGGGUGAGUAAUGUCUGGGAAACUGCCUGAUGGAGGGGGAUAACGACUGGAAACGGUAGUUAAUACCGCAUACAUUCGGUGGUGCCAGGAUGGGAUGAGCUAGUAGGUGGGGUAACGGCUCACCUAGGCGACGAUCCCUAGCUGGUCUGAGAGGAUGACCAGCCACACUGGAACUGAGACACGGUCCAGACUCCUACGGGAGGCAGCAGUGGGGAAUAUUGCACAAUGGGCGCAAGCCUGAUGCAGCCAUGCCGCGUGUAUGAAGAAGGCCUUCGGGUUGUAAAGUACUUUCAGCGGGGAGGCGUUACCCGCAGAAGAAGCACCGGCUAACUCCGUGCCAGCAGCCGCGGUAAUUC